ensembl:lncRNA
GGAGAGAGCUGCAUGAUACUGGAGGACAAGACACCAAGCCCCUCAAGGGACUCAGGCAGUUGGCUUUUCUCCUCUCCAGAGCACCAACUGAAACAAACCACUCAGCCAGAAUGAACAGAGCAGGACUAUGUUUCACUUUACUACUACUGGGGUAACUUUCAGCUCAACUUUCAAUGCAGAUUGCACUUCAUUCUAUCUGCAUUCUUGCAGUGUUCUGGUGAUAAUGAUAGUCAUGUUUUUCCUCAGGUGUGUACAUGGGGGGAAGCCCUCUCAAAAGGAUGUGGUGUUUAGUAGGGGCAUCCAGCUCUUUGUAGAAGGUUUGAACCCUUCUGAUCCAUCUGUACUCAUUCUCUCCUCAUUCGGGAGUGAUCCUGGUGCUUCACACACACCUACGCUGGUGUGUGUCCUCAGUGGUUUACACACACACCUGGUGGACAUCAUUUGGUGGAUCAACAACACCGUGGUUACCCCAGAGAACAAUGUUGUUUGGAGUUCCAGAGGAAGCAAUGGCAUGUACAUGGCUACUGGACUAUGGACUGUGUCUGGAAAGGACUGGAAGCCACAGAAUUACUACCAGUGUGGAACCAGACAUGAAGGAAAGCUUUAUAUAAAUGUAACACAGUCCUCACUUUGCAGGGAUUUUACUUAAUUACAAAUGUUUGUUGAUUUAUCAAAAAUGAUCUGUACUUGACAGCCUCCUUUGCAUUUAAUGUACAGUCUUUAAACGUAUUAAAAUAUGGAUGCA